CCAAUAGCGUAUAUUAAAGUUGUUGCAGUUAAAAAGCUCGUAGUUGAAUUUCGGAAUCUGUCCGUUGGUCGGGCUUCAUUGUCCGUACUGGUGUGAUGGGUUCUUACCUUCUGAAUAACCAGCAUGCCAUUCACUUGGUGCGCUGGGGAAGCAGGAUUAUUACCUUGAAAAAAUUAGAGUGCUCAAAGCAGGCUAGCGCCUGAAUACAUUAGCAUGGAAUAAUAAAAUAGGACGGCAUGGUUCUAUUUUGUUGGUUUCUAGGAUCACCGUAAUGAUUAAUAGGGAUAGUUGGGGGCAUUAGUAUUCAAUUGUCAGAGGUGAAAUUCUUGGAUUUAUUGAAGACUAACUUCUGCGAAAGCAUUUGCCAAGGAUGUUUUCAUUAAUCAAGAACGAAAGUUAGGGGAUCGAAGACGAUCAGAUACCGUCGUAGUCUUAACCAUAAACUAUGCCGACUAGGGAUCGGACGAUGUUAAUUUUUUAAUGACUCGUUCGGCGCCUUACG
rnacentral:misc_RNA from 1 species